rnacentral:rRNA from 1 species
GACGGAGGAUGCAAGCGUUAUCCGGAAUGAUUGGGCGUAAAGCGUCCGCAGGUGGCAGUUCAAGUCUGCUGUCAAAGACCGGGGCUUAACUUCGGAAAGGCAGUGGAAACUGAACAGCUAGAGUAUGGUAGGGGCAGAGGGAAUUCCUGGUGUAGCGGUGAAAUGCGUAGAGAUCAGGAAGAACACCCGUGGCGAAGGCGGCUCUCUGGGACGGUACUGACGCUGAGGCGCGAAAGCUAGGGGAGCAAACGGG